GACGAACGCUGGCGGCGUGCUUAACACAUGCAAGUCGAACGGAAAGGCCCUGCUGUUGUCGGGUGCUCGAGUGGCGAACGGGUGAGUAACACGAGCGUACCCUGACCUUGACUUUGGGAUAACUAAAGGAGACUGAGGCCAAUACCGGAUAGGAGCCCCAGCUCCAGGGUGGGGGUUGGAAAGUUUCGGCGGUUGGGGAUGGAGUCGCGGCUUAUCGGCUUGUUGGUGGGGUAGGGGCUGACCAAGGCUUUGACCGGUAGCCGGCCGGGGUGGGUGGCCGGCGACAUUGGGACUACGAUACGACGCGGACGCGAACGGGGGACAAUAGUGGGAAGUAUGACACAGUGAUGCGGCGCCUGAGACAGCGGCGUCGCGGGCGUGAUGACGUCCUGCGCGUUGUAAACCGCUUUCGGCUGUGACGUAGCGUGGGUGACGGUAAUGGGAGAAGAAGCACCGGCUAACUACGUG
rnacentral:rRNA from 1 species